CUACGGGUCGCAGCAGUGAGGAAUUUUGCGCAAUGGGGGAAACCCUGACGCAGCAACGCCGCGUGAGCGAAGAAGGCCUUCGGGUCGUAAAGCUCUGUCAAGUGGGAAAAAAGCCUUUUGAUUAAUACCCAAAAGGUUUGAUGGUACCACUGGAGGAAGCACCGGCUAACUCCGUGCCAGCAGCCGCGGUAAUACGGAGGGUGCAAGCGGUGUUCGGAUUUACUGGGCGUAAAGGGCGUGCAGGCGGUUUGGCAAGUCAGAUGUGAAAGCCCUGGGCUUAACCCGGGAAGUGCAUUUGAAACUGCCUUUCUUGAGUAUGGGAGAGGAGAGUGGAAUUCCCAGUGUAGAGGUGAAAUUCGUAGAUAUUGGGAGGAACACCCGUGGCGAAGGCGACUCUCUGGACCAAUACUGACGUUGAUACGCGAAAGCGUGGGGAGCAAACAGGAUUAGAUACCCCCGUAGUC
rnacentral:rRNA from 1 species